ensembl:lncRNA
GGAGGUUCGCCCCGACUCUGCCCGGUGGGGAGCCUCUCCUUGCGUGCCUUUUUACUUUGCACAGAGCAAUCAUUGGCGCAAUGGCCUUUUUCCUGCCCACCUUCUUUCUCAGGAAGCUCCUCGGGGCAGCUCCAGGGCCCCUCACCUUGGGGGAGGGUCAGUCUUUUCUCUAAACUGGGCAAUGUUAGAAGACUCAGGUGAAAGAGCAGCUCCCGCUUCCCAGGCUGCCUGCGGCCCCCAGAUGCAAAGCCAGCAGCAGGAGGCUUCAGGAGAGAUCGGCUGCCAGCUGAACCAAGAACUACAGGCUUUAGACGAUGGAUAAGAGAACCGCCCAUGGGGAGGACACCUAUCAGCUUCCUCUCAGUCCCAGAGCGUUCUUAGCACUGGCACAAAAGAAAAGCCCUGCCCAGGUUCUGACGUCAUCAGGCUCGGGCAUGAAAGGAAAACAAGAUGACCCUGCUGGUGUGCUCCAGAGGAAGACCAGCCUUCAGGUAGGCAGAAGCAGGCUGAGCCGGCACUGUUACCACAGACAGAACCAUCUACCGUGAGAUUUUUCUGUAACUGCUUUUAAAAUGUUCGUUCAGUUUCUUUACCAAUUACACUUCAACACAGCCCCACCCCACCCAGAGGUUAAUCCGCUCAGCCUCUGCUGCGGACCAGCCGUCCCCCUCACUUCACCUCCACCCCGGGCCCAACAG